GGAAAGAAGAGAAGGCCUUUAAUCUUAGAAAUCAUUACUGCUGCCUAAGGGGUCCUGCGGGCUUUCCCAGGUACGAGGACACAGGACGGGGAGAGUCAGGGCCCUGCUGCACCCACAGCUGGGGGGUACACGGGGUGCUAGGGAAGCCCCUGGGGCUGGCAGCCACCUCCAGACCCCCUGCCCAACCUACAGCUCCCCCAUCUGGAACCGCCUUCUCCUCCCAGGGGUCUGUCUCCAUGGCAACAUCCCCAUCACAGGUGUUCGUAACCUUGGCAACGAGGUACUGCCACCCCACCACCUGGGAGGCUGGAAUCCUUAGCUACACCCCGUUCCCACACCCACCUCUGCCCCCAUGGCAGCAUCCCGCUGGGGAUGCUGGGUCCAGAGAGGCCAUUCAGUGGCUAAGCCCACCUCCGUGUCCCUGCUAAAUGCAAUAGAACAGCAAUGCCAAUGUGCACAUUCUUGCCGGUCACUGAGGGUCUACUACAUGCUCCCGGGCUCCCUCUCAGUAUACGGACCAGGCUGACACUGACCAAGAAUGGAGAGAUGAUAAGACAGUGGUUUCAGGCAGCAACAGACACUUCCCCACUCAGACCCCCCCAGAACCCCCACUUCCAGGGGCAAAACCUAUAGCCCUCAGCAUCACUGGACCAUUUGUUUAUUCAGCCAGCAUUUACUGGACACCUACUCUGUGUCUACUGGAGCCAUUCCACAGCAGAAAAGAAGGAAAAGCCCAUGAUUAACAGGAUAAAUCAGUAAAUUACAUGGUGUCUUAAGUGGGGAGAGUGCCGAGGAGGCAGGGAGGGGACAGAGGAGGCAAGGGGUGGAGACAUGAGUCAGGAAGGGCAUGACUGACUCCCACCCUAGAUUGGGUACCGGCUCUCUGCUGAGUUUCCCACCACACUCUUUCAUGACUGUCUCACUGGUCUGCUCCCCCAGGACCAUGGCGAGCCCCCUGCUGCAUCUCCUCCUUCUGGCACUUGACCUGGUACACAGUAGGUGCUCAAUAAACACUUUCCUCUAAGAGCCCUGGGUGGCAAUUACCAGAACCUCAUUUCACAGGAGACAGAAGCUCAGAGAGGGAAAGUGACUGCCCCAAGAUUACACAGCCUCUACAGCAGUGAUUCCUCUGUGGGGGCUGGGCUGCCCAUGGGGAUGGAGAACCACCAGGGAGGGGACCCCACGUCCUCCUCUUGGAUCUCUGCAGGCCAGGAAAGGAUCCGUCCUCUUGUCCCUUGGGUACCUGGCCUGCAGCCUCCCGCGAUGCAGUUUCUGGGCCUCAGGCCAAUGCGACAGUCUGGGAAC
ensembl:lncRNA